AUGGCGACGGCAACUGCGAGUAGGCCCAGCGGGCCGGUCCUGUCGAUUCCCAGCUACUGCUCCGCCUCGCCCACCCGCGUCAACCUGCCCGCCGGUGGCGCCACACGCUCGCCGGGCAAGUCCGUCAGCGUCUCGUCCUCCUCCCCUGCCCCUGCCGGCGCCGCCGCCAGCAAGGGCCGUCGGUCCUGCAUGUGCUCCCCGACAAACCACCCGGGCUCUUUCCGGUGCAGCCUCCACAAAGAGCGCAAGCAGGCGGCUCCAUCUUGCAACAGCAAGCCCGGCUCCCCGCCGUCCAUCGGCAGCGCCGGCUCGAAGCAGAGGGGCAGCGCGCUGGUGCGGCUUGUCCCCAUGGAGAGCGGGCACUGGGCACGCAGGGCGCUCGCGCCGUCCUCCGCGGCGCAGCAGUCGCUCCAGCACCGGAGGCGCGUGGGCCGGUCCCGUCCCCGGCCGAGCCGGCUCUCCGCUGUGUCCAUGGCCGGCGACCGCGCCGGGGACAACCACCAGUAG
rnacentral:rRNA from 1 species